GGGGUAAGGAAGGCGGAAGUGAGAAGGUUGAAGACAGACUGGUGUGUUUACUCUUGUGUUGAGGGGAAGUAACGCCAGCGUGAGCCUGAGAUGCAACAAGAUACACAGCCACUCCAAGCACGAUGGUAGCCAUCAACUCUCCAGCAGCCAGACCUGCUAUGGAAACCACGUCAAGCUCCACGCAGUUGUCGCAGGCUGGACAAACACAAAGACAAAUAUCUGUGAAAUGUCAAUAACGAACACCUUGUGGCCAUUAGAAGAUUGGACUUCAGUCACCAUUUUUUUUGUCAUCAUUGCGUUUGUACAGUUCAAUUCAGGUAAGGGGUCUGUUGAGCCACUCUUUGUGUGGUCCCUCACCUACUGUACGACCUGUUUGUCAUGGGUGACCAAAUUAGCUCAUAGGAUCAUCGAGACACGCAAACUUCUCCACAACUGCAAGGUUGUAGCUCAGGGAGGAGUGUAAAGGGUGGCUGCACUCACCCUAAGAGACCCGCUGCUCCUUCACAUGGAGAGGAGCCAGUUGAGGUGGCUCGGGCAUCUAGUCCGGAUGCCUCCCAGACGCCUCCCUGGUGAGGUGUCAGGAGAGGGCCCCAGGGCCCCCUAGGACACGCUAGAGGGAUUAUGUCUCACAGCUGGCCUGGGAAUGCCUUGGUGUCCUCCCAGUGGAACUGGAAGAGGUGGCCGGAGACUGGGAAGUCUAGGCUUCCCUACCCGGAUAAGCAGAGGAAAAUGGAUGGAUGGCUGGAUGGAUGGAUGGAUGGACAGACUUUGAAUCCUAAUUUAUCACGGUGGGGACCAAUUAACAGCGAUAAAUGAGGGAUGACUGCAUGCCACUUACAGGGAAAUUGUUUUUUUUGUUUUCUGUGUAUAAAAAGGCUCAUUCCAAAAUUAUCUUGAAAAUAUAAAAUAAGUUAAAUUACAGUGCAAUAAACUACACACAAAAAAGGAGACGUUCCUUAUGACUGGCAUGGUUGUUUGUCCACGUGUCCUGUGCUACCCGUGACCCUACGAAGGACAAGCGUUAUAGAAAA